UACGAGGGGGGCGAGCGUUGUUCGGAAUUAUUGGGCGUAAAGGGUGCGUAGGCGGUUUGGUAAGUCUUAUGUGAAAUCUACAGGCUCAACUUGUAGUCUGCAUGAGAAACUGCCGGGCUUGAGUAUGGGAGAGGUGAGUGGAAUUCCUGGUGUAGCGGUGAAAUGCGUAGAUAUUCGGAGGAACACCAGUGGCGAAGGCGGCUCACUGGUCCGGUACUGACGCUGAGGUGCGAAAGCGUGGGGAGCAAACAGG
rnacentral:rRNA from 1 species